rnacentral:rRNA from 1 species
AUGCUGACAUAAGUAACGAUAAAGCGGGUGAAAAGCCCGCUCGCCGGAAGACCAAGGGUUCCUGUCCAACGUUAAUCGGGGCAGGGUGAGUCGACCCCUAAGGCGAGGCCGAAAGGCGUAGUCGAUGGGAAACAGGUUAAUAUUCCUGUACUUGGUGUUACUGCGAAGGGGGGACGGAGAAGGCUAUGUUGGCCGGGCGACGGUUGUCCCGGUUUAAGCGUGUAGGCUGGUUUUCCAGGCAAAUCCGGAAAAUCAAGGCUGAGGCGUGAUGACGAGGCACUACGGUGCUGAAGCAACAAAUGCCCUGCUUCCAGGAAAAGCCUCUAAGCAUCAGGUAACAUCAAAUCGUACCCCAAACCGACACAGGUGGUCAGGUAGAGAAUACCAAGGCGCUUGAGAGAACUCGGGUGAAGGAACUAGGCAAAAUGGUGCCGUAACUUCGGGAGAAGGC